GAUUAAUUGAUUGAUAAAUGGGUUUAUAAAUUACUUAAUACAACAAUUAAACAAUUUGAAACGCAGUGAGCAUGUAGUGCUUUCUAAGUGACAUAAUUGCUUCAAGUUAAUUGUGCAAAUAACGUGAUCUUAAUGCUAAAUACGAAAAUGGAAAUAUAGCUGGAUGCAACGCGUGUACGCGAAUAGUGAAACAAGGAAGAGGAGGACCUAAUCGAGUGAAAGCUAAGGUCAUAAGGCCAAUAAACGUUCCCGGACGAGCCGAUAAGCUGCAUAAUAGCAAAAUACCAAUUGCGUUUCACUACUUUCCUUUUUCUUACCUAGUAUCUGAAUACUACGUACACCGUGGUAUCACGUGUAACCGAUCGUGCAUGGACGUCGAACGGUUCAAUUGAAUUAAAGAGUCAAUUAUGUAGUCUAUGACGCUGGUUUCCGACGGAAGUCAUCAGUUCAAUGCAAAUUACAACCAUCACACAAAGUAUCAAAAACAUCUGUAACUUGAAUAAAAAAAUUUCCUUGUACAAUUGCACAUUUAAUUGGAAUAAUUUAUUCCCGAUGUUUGAAUCGAUGUUAGAGAAACUUAGAUGUACAACGAAGAUAACUGUCAAUUAAAUCUGAUGGAAGAGCAAAUUCAUUUAAGGAUAACACACUUCCCACGGAUAUUUGUAGUCGGCUCGCCGUUAUAAUUAAUGUUAUACAUU